rnacentral:rRNA from 1 species
AGUGAACGCUGGCGGUAGGCCUAACACAUGCAAGUCGAACGGCAGCACAGUAAGAGCUUGCUCUUCGGGUGGCGAGUGGCGGACGGGUGAGGAAUACAUCGGAAUCUACUUUUUCGUGGGGGAUAACGUAGGGAAACUUACGCUAAUACCGCAUACGACCUACGGGUGAAAGCAGGGGAUCUUCGGACCUUGCGCGAUUGAAUGAGCCGAUGUCGGAUUAGCUAGUUGGCGGGGUAAAGGCCCACCAAGGCGACGAUCCGUAGCUGGUCUGAGAGGAUGAUCAGCCACACUGGAACUGAGACACGGUCCAGACUCCUACGGGAGGCAGCAGUGGGGAAUAUUGGACAAUGGGCGCAAGCCUGAUCCAGCCAUACCGCGUGGGUGAAGAAGGCCUUCGGGUUGUAAAGCCCUUUUGUUGGGAAAGAAAAGCAGCAGGUUAAUACCCCGCUGUUCUGACGGUACCCAAAGAAUAAGCACCGGCUAACUUCGU